rnacentral:lncRNA from 1 species
GUCAGUGAGUGCUCUGUUGCUCUGAGCCCAUGGUGCAAUGAUGGAACACUUUAGUGAGGACCCCUCCCUGACACUGGCCUGUGAGAGAGGCUUGAUAUUACAGGACACAGCACCCUGAAGAACCAGAGGCUGGGUCCACAAGAGGGCGCACUGAUACCAUUGAGAAGAGCCAUGCCUGUCAGCUUUUCCUGCUUUCCUCUGUGACCUGAAGAAGCUUCUCAAAGCAGAAACUACAAGAGGAGAACAAACGCUGUCCCGACCUUGGAGAAUUCUCACUCCUCAGCCUUUGGAGCCUGGGAGUGAAUGAGGCUCCAUCAUUGACAAGGGGUGGAUUUUCUAUCAAGUCCCCCUUGUCCAGAAGGAUUUAAUAUUUGUAUAUAAGGUUUUCGCGAUAUUCUUGUAAGCAUUCUGGUUUCUCUUAGAGCUGGUGAGACUAGUGUUUAAUGCUUAUUAAAAAGUGCAUCUGUGUCAUCGACAU